UACGUAGGUGGCAAGCGUUGUCCGGAUUUACUGGGCGUAAAGAGCGCGCAGGCGGCUGGUCAAGUCCGAUGUGAAAUCUCCCGGCUCAACUGGGAAACUGCAUCGGAAACUGAUCGGCUUGAAGGUGGGAGAGGGUAGUGGAAUUCCCGGUGUAGUGGUGAAAUGCGUAGAUAUCGGGAGGAACACCCGUGGCGAAGGCGGCUCUCUGGCCUGUAACUGACGCUGAGGCGCGAAAGCGUGGGGAGCAAACAGG
rnacentral:rRNA from 1 species